UACGUAGGGCGCAAGCGUUGUCCGGAAUUAUUGGGCGUAAAGAGCUCGUAGGCGGUUUGUCGCGUCUGCUGUGAAAUCCCGAGGCUCAACCUCGGGCUUGCAGUGGGUACGGGCAGACUGGAGUGCGGUAGGGGAGACUGGAAUUCCUGGUGUAGCGGUGGAAUGCGCAGAUAUCAGGAGGAACACCGAUGGCGAAGGCAGUUCUCUGGGCCGCAACUGACGCUGAGGAGCGAAAUCAUGGGGAGCGAACAGG
rnacentral:rRNA from 1 species